GCUGGCGGCAGGCCUAACACAUGCAAGUCGAGCGGUAACAGAGAGAAGCUUGCUUCUUUGCUGACGAGCGGCGGACGGGUGAGUAACGCGUAGGAAUCUACCGAUUAGUGGGGGAUAGCCCAGGGAAACUUGGAUUAAUACCGCAUACGCCCUACGGGGGAAAGCGGGGGAUCUUCGGACCUCGCGCUAAUCGAUGAGCCUGCGUAAGAUUAUGCUUGUUGGUGAGGUAAGAGCUCACCAAGGCGACGAUCUUUAGCUGGUCUGAGAGGAUGAUCAGCCACACUGGGACUGAGACACGGCCCAGACUCCUACGGGAGGCAGCAGUGGGGAAUAUUGGACAAUGGGGGCAACCCUGAUCCAGCCAUGCCGCGUGUGUGAAGAAGGCCUUCGGGUUGUAAAGCACUUUCAGAUGUGAGGAAAGGUGUGUGCUUAAUACGCACAGACUGUGACGUUAGCAUCAGAAGAAGGACCGGCUAACUCCGUGCCAGCAGCCGCGGUAAUACGGAGGGUCCGAGCGUUAAUCGGAAUUACUGGGCGUAAAGCGCGCGUA
rnacentral:rRNA from 1 species